CUUGGCGGCACUAGCGCGGUGGUCCCACCUGACCCCAUGCCGAACUCAGAAGUGAAACGCCGUAGCGCC
rnacentral:rRNA from 1 species